UGGGACACUUGGAGAGUGUUUGAUGUGAA
rnacentral:piRNA from 1 species